rnacentral:lncRNA from 1 species
AGAGAAAGAGAGUAAAAGGAGAGAGUAGCUCUGAAGGUGAAAGCCCAAGAAGGAGUUCUUGAGCUGUAAAGGUCCAUCUUCUUCCCUCUUCCUUUUAGCCAACCUUCUGCCUCCCUGCGAGCUAGCACUCCCCGGGAAACUGAUCAUUCAGGAGCUUCGCGUGGACGAGUCAUCAAGGCCGGACACUUGUGCGGCUGCGAAGCAUCCUUGAAGGAACCCUCUUUUAAAGGUAAGAGACAUGAUCUCUUUUACGGUUGAGAUAUGAUCUCAAUCUUCAAAUCACAAGAAGUUGUGAUUUAUGCAUAUUUAUUUGAAUCACAUAAUCCUCGGGAUCUGAGGGCUUUGUGAUAUUUGAUGUCAAAGCAAAGGGUUAGUGGAGACUAUCCAAUUUCCGGAAACUCUCACGCGUGAUCGUGUGACGAAGCGUGGCGCUCCACCCGGGGGCUCAUAUGAUGAGUGCUUUGAUAGGCACGCGCGAGUGUCACCCUAUGUAUUGGGACUGAGCCCGCGCCAC